UCCAACUUUAAUCAUCCGUUUUAUUUAAAAUAAUUUUAUAAGUAAUGUUUUUAUUGUUAUUAGAUGGUAACACAUGAAUAAUACUUCAUGCAUAACUAUUUUUUCAUCUAUUUAUAUAAUUUUUGAAUUAGACGCACGGUCAUAGUUGGACACGAAAAUCCA
rnacentral:pre_miRNA from 1 species